rnacentral:rRNA from 1 species
GUAGGGAAUAUUGCACAAUGGAGGAAACUCUGAUGCAGCGACGCCGCGUGAGUGAUGAAGGCCUUCGGGCCGUAAAGCUCUGUCGCAGGGGAAUAACACAAUGAAGGUACCCUGUAAGAAAGGAUCGGCUAACUUCGUGCCAGCAGCCGCGGUAAGACGAGGGAUCCUAGCGUUGUUCGGAAUCAUUGGGCGUAAAGCGGAUGUAGGUGGCUAUGUAAGUCAGAUGUGAAAGCCUGGGGCUCAACCCCAGAAGUGCAUUUGAUACUGCGUAGCUUGAGUGUCGGAGAGGUUACUAGAAUUGUUGGUGUAGUGGUGAAAUACGUAGAUAUCAACAGGAAUACCGGAGGCGAAGGCGGGUAACUGGCCGAACACUGACACUGAGAUCCGAAAGCGUGGGGAUCAAACAGGAUUAGAAACCCUAGUAGUCC